rnacentral:rRNA from 1 species
GAUGAACGCUGGCGGCAUGCCUAAUACAUGCAAGUCGAGCGAACGGACGAGGAGCUUGCUUCUCUGAUGUUAGCGGCGGACGGGAGAGUAACACGUGGAUAACCUACCUAUCAGACUGGGAUAACUUUGGGAAACCGUAGCUAAUACCGGAUAAUAUUUUGAACCGCAUGGUUCAAACGUGAAAGACGGUCUUGCUGUCACUUAUAGAUGGAUCCGGGUUUCAUUAGUUAGUUGGUAAGGUAACGGCUUACCAAGGCAAGGAUGCAUAGCCGACCUGAGAGGGUGAAUGGCCAGACGGGAACUGAGACUGGGCCCAGACACCUACGGGAGGCAGCGGUAGGGAAUCUUCCGCGAUGGGGGAGUGCCUGACGUUGCAACGUCGGGGGAGUCAUGAAGGACUUAGGAUGGGUGAACUCUGUAAGUAUGGAAGUUGUUAUGUUUAAGUAACUGGGCACAUAUUGACGGUACCUAAACAGAAAGCCACGGCUAACUCCGUG